UCAAGCGAACAAGUGCAUGUGGUGGAUGCCUUGGCGAUCACAGGCGAUGAAGGACGCGGUAGCCUGCGAAAAGCUACGGGGAGCUGGCAAACAAGCUUUGAUCCGUAGAUGUCCGAAUGGGGAAACCCACUCCUUUUGGAGUGUCCAUGGCUGAAUACAUAGGCCAUGUGAAGCGAACGCGGUGAACUGAAACAUCUAAGUAACCGCAGGAAAAGAAAUCAACCGAGAUUCCCAAAGUAGUGGCGAGCGAAAUGGGAUGAGCCUUGCACUCUUUAUUUGUAUUGUUAGCCGAACGCUCUGGAAAGUGCGGCCAUAGCAGGUGAUAGCCCUGUAGGCGAAAACAGUAUGAAAGAACUAGGUGUGCGACAAGUAGGGCGGGACACGUGAAAUCCUGUCUGAAGAUGGGGGGACCAUCCUCCAAGGCUAAAUACUCGUGAUCGACCGAUAGUGAACCAGUACCGUGAGGGAAAGGCGAAAAGAACCCCGGGAGGGGAGUGAAAUAGAUCCUGAAACCGCAUGCAUACAAACAGUCGGAGCCUCGCAAGGGGUGACGGCGUACCUUUUGUAUAAUGGGUCAGCGACUUACGUUCAGUAGCAAGCUUAACCGUAUAGGGCAGGCGUAGCGAAAGCGAGUCCGAAUAGGGCGUUCAGUUGCUGGGCGUAGACCCGAAACCAGGUGAUCUAUCCAUGGCCAGGAUGAAGGUGCGGUAACACGUACUGGAGGUCCGAACCCACUAACGUUGAAAAGUUAGGGGAUGAGCUGUGGAUAGGGGUGAAAGGCUAAACAAACCUGGAAAUAGCUGGUUCUCUCCGAAAACUAUUUAGGUAGUGCCUCGUGUCUCACCUUCGGGGGUAGAGCACUGUCAUGGUUGGGGGGUCUAUUGCAGAUUACCCCGCCAUAGCAAACUCCGAAUACCGAAGAGUGCAAUCACGGGAGACAGACAUCGGGUGCUAACGUCCGGUGUCAAGAGGGAAACAACCCAGACCGCCAGCUAAGGUCCCCAAAUAUAGCUAAGUGGGAAACGAAGUGGGAAGGCUAAAACAGUCAGGAGGUUGGCUUAGAAGCAGCCACCCUUUAAAGAAAGCGUAAUAGCUCACUGAUCGAGUCGUCCUGCGCGGAAGAUGUAACGGGGCUAAGCUAUAUACCGAAGCUGCGGAUGCGUGCUUGCACGCAUGGUAGGAGAGCGUUCCGUAAGCCUGCGAAGGUGCCUUGUAAAGGGUGCUGGAGGUAUCGGAAGUGCGAAUGCUGACAUGAGUAGCGAUAAAGGGGGUGAAAGGCCCCCUCGCCGUAAGCCCAAGGUUUCCUACGCAACGUUCAUCGGCGUAGGGUGAGUCGGCCCCUAAGGCGAGGCAGAAAUGCGUAGCUGAUGGGAAGCAGGUCAAUAUUCCUGCACCAUUGUUAGAUGCGAUGGGGGGACGGAUCGCGGAAGGUUGUCCGGGUGUUGGAAGUCCCGGUCGCUGCAUUGGAGAAGGCGCUUAGGCAAAUCCGGGCGCGUAAUUCAAGGGUGUGGCGCGAGCUCCUUAGGGAGCGAAGCAAUUGGAAGUGGUUCCAAGAAAAGCCUCUAAGCUUCAGUCUAACGAUGACCGUACCGCAAACCGACACAGGUGGGCGAGAUGAGUAUUCUAAGGCGCUUGAGAGAACUCGGGAGAAGGAACUCGGCAAAUUGGUACCGUAACUUCGGGAUAAGGUACGCCCUUGUAGCUUGACCAGCCUGCGCUGGAAGGGUGAAGGGGUUGCAAUAAACUGGUGGCUGCGACUGUUUAAUAAAAACACAGCACUCUGCAAACACGAAAGUGGACGUAUAGGGUGUGACGCCUGCCCGGUGCCGGAAGAUUAAAUGAUGGGGUGCAAGCUCUUGAUUGAAGUCCCGGUAAACGGCGGCCGUAACUAUAACGGUCCUAAGGUAGCGAAAUUCCUUGUCGGGUAAGUUCCGACCUGCACGAAUGGCGUAACGAUGGCCACACUGUCUCCUCCCGAGACUCAGCGAAGUUGAAGUGUUUGUGAUGAUGCAAUCUACCCGCGGCUAGACGGAAAGACCCCAUGAACCUUUACUGUAGCUUUGCAUUGGACUUUGAACCGAUCUGUGUAGGAUAGGUGGGAGGCUAUGAAACCGGAACGCUAGUUUCGGUGGAGCCGUCCUUGAAAUACCACCCUGGUUUGUUUGAGGUUCUAACCUUGGCCCGUGAUCCGGGUCGGGGACAGUGCAUGGUAGGCAGUUUGACUGGGGCGGUCUCCUCCCAAAGCGUAACGGAGGAGUACGAAGGUACGCUAGGUACGGUCGGAAAUCGUGCUGAUAGUGCAAUGGCAUAAGCGUGCUUAACUGCGAGACCGACAAGUCGAGCAGGUGCGAAAGCAGGUCAUAGUGAUCCGGUGGUUCUGUAUGGAAGGGCCAUCGCUCAACGGAUAAAAGGUACUCUGGGGAUAACAGGCUGAUACCGCCCAAGAGUUCAUAUCGACGGCGGUGUUUGGCACCUCGAUGUCGGCUCAUCUCAUCCUGGGGCUGUAGCCGGUCCCAAGGGUAUGGCUGUUCGCCAUUUAAAGAGGUACGUGAGCUGGGUUUAAAACGUCGUGAGACAGUUUGGUCCCUAUCUGCCGUGGGCGUUGGAUAUUUGAAGGGGGCUGCUCCUAGUACGAGAGGACCGGAGUGGACGAACCUCUGGUGUACCGGUUGUCACGCCAGUGGCAUCGCCGGGUAGCUAUGUUCGGAAGAGAUAACCGCUGAAAGCAUCUAAGCGGGAAACUCGCCUUAAGAUGAGAUAUCCCUGGGGACUAGAUCCCCUUGAAGGGUCGUUCGAGACCAGGACGUUGAUAGGUCAGGUGUGUAAGCGCAGUAAUGCGUUCAGCUAACUGAUACUAAUUGCCCGUAAGGCUUGAUCCU
rnacentral:rRNA from 1 species